rnacentral:rRNA from 1 species
UACAGGGGAUGCGAGUGUUAUCCAGAAUUAUUGGGCGUAAAGGGCCUGCAGGUGGGUAUUUAAGUCUUUUGUUAAAUCUCUGGGCUUAACCCAGAAUCUGCAAAAGAAACUACUUAUCUAGAGUAUGGUAGAGGUAAAGGGAAUUUCCAGUGGAGCGGUGAAAUGCGUAGAGAUUGGAAAGAACACCAAAGGCGAAGGCACUUUACUAGGCCAGUACUGACACUGAGGGGCGAAAGCUAGGGGAGCAAACGGG